rnacentral:misc_RNA from 1 species
UUAACUUAUUCGGUUGUUACUCAGACGCACGGAUGCAGAGUUUGGGUAAGGUCCACCGAGGGCCCCGACGCCCGUGAGGGCCGGGUCGCCCCCGAGGCAACAGAGUCGGAGUUCAAAGGGUUGGAGGUCGGGCCGGGAGGCCCUCACUCGGUAAUGAUCCCUCCGCAGGUUCACCUACGGAGA